GUAGGGUCCAAGCGUUAUCCGGAAUCACUGGGCGUAAAGCGUGCGUAGGUGGCGCGUUAAGUGAGAUGUUAAAUCGUGGGGCUCAACCCUGUCGGUGCAUCUCAUACUGGCGUGCUAGAGGACAGCAGAGGCAAGUGGAAUUUGUAGUGUAGCAGUGAAAUGCGUAGAUAUUACAAGGAACACCAAUGGCGAAGGCAGCUUGCUGGGCUACUCCUGACACUGAGGUACGAAAGCGUGGGGAGCGAACAGGAUUAGAUACCCUGGUAGUCCACGCCGUAAACGAUGCAUACUAGACGUAUGGGGUAUCGACCCCCUGUGCGUCGAAGCUAACGCGAUAAGUAUGCCGCCUGGGAAGUACGGCCGCAAGGCUA
rnacentral:rRNA from 1 species